UAUAUAAGACAAUUUAUUUGUAUUUGUUGCUGCAAAAUCUGUAAUUUGAAAGGUACAAAUCUAGUCGUUGGUGUUAAAAUAGGUUUAGACAUGUCGUACAUCGCAUGAAUGUUUUUUUUUUUUUAUAUACAUCUAUGACAACGUUAACUUUUUUUACAGUUUUAGUGAUAUUUUACAUUCAUGUUAUCUCAGCUCUUGGUUUGAGUUCUUUCAAAGUUAAUUUGCUCUGGUUCUAAGUUUUUGUUUUUUU
rnacentral:lncRNA from 1 species